CCCAAACCCAAAUCUAAUUCAAUCAAUGGCGAAACGCAAGAAGAUCAUAAUCUACACAGAUCCGGCAUUGGUAUAUACUAGUGAUGCGAUGGCGAUAUUUGUGGCGCUCCAAUAACCGGAAUUCGAAGUGAUUGGACUCACUGCUAUUUACGGCAAUGUCUACACUGCACUCGCCACCGGAAAUGCUUUACUCUUGGCAAAAAUUGUUGCCUCUCUCUUCAACAAAAUUUUAGUUUUUGAGACAUUGUAUAUGUUGAAAUUGAAAAUAAAAUGUAAUUAGUUAGAUUGAUUAGUGUAAUUAGUUAGGUAGAUUAGUUGGUUUUUUUGUUAUUUUACCUAGUCAACUUUUCCAAAAGGUAGUCCAUAAAAGAUAUUUUCUCGUUUUCUCUUUUCUCUCCCAUUAUUGGCGAUAUUUUCUCGUUCUCUCUUUUCUCUCCCAUAAUCGGCCGUUUCUGCAUUUCUUUAUGCUCUUCAAUGGAGGUUUCUCCAUCCAAUUCAAUCACCAUUUUCAACAUAUGAUUUGAAGAUUGUUCAGUGAUUAUAGUUGUUUCACUUUUGCUUAAUAAUUGAUACGGAGUACGUGGUAGAGAGACUUAUCUUUCUAAAAAUUGAGAUUCAAUUAGAGUUUUCCAUCUGGAUUUAGCUGAUAGUGAAUUGUGAAGGCUUUAUUAGUUUAUUGUUUCAUAUCCAUGAGCCUAUUAUAUUGGUUAAGUUUGCAAAUUUGAAUGUGCGCGAUUGUGAUGAUUCUUUUUGGUGGUGACUGAAUCAGGGGUUAGAUCUUAUCAUAUUUAGUGCUAUUCAUUACCCUAGGUUUGCAGUAUUGAGUACUUUGAUAAAUAUUGGGUGUUCCUUUUCUAAGUGAGAGUCAAUUGUAUAGUUGGCAAUCAAUGAGGUUUGCAGAUUAUUGAGUAUUUUAAUAAAUAUCGGGGGUUCCUUUUCUAAGUGAGAGUCGAUUGUACAGUUGGAGAUUGCCGGGAGGCCGGACAUUCCUGUGGCUGAAGGAUCUCAUGUGACCAUUACUGUGUAUAAUGAUACCAUUUGCCAUUAAUUGUUUCUGUUUUUGACUUAAUCAGAGCUCAUGUUCUUGUGUAAACUAUCAGUUCUUGCGUCUCAUUACCAUCCAAUAUCUGUCAUUUUCCGUAAUACAUACAAUGUUUGCAGAAAUUCUGACUUGAUUGUCAAUUCUAUAUGCAUAACUUGUACUGUUGAAGUCUUAUGAUCGAUAAUUUGAACUCAUUUGCUGAUUUAAUGGAGGGCAGGCAAUUGAGUUAAAAAGUCUCUUCCUAUUUACGGCAAUGUCUACACCGCACUAACCACCAGAAAUGCUGUACACUUGGUGGCUUGUUGUCUUUCUCUCCUUCUCGAAAUUUUAGUUUUCAGCUCUUGCGAAAAUGUAAAGGAAAUGCUUGAUAACACUUUUAAUUUUAUUAUUUGAAGAUUGUUAAAGAUUAUACUAGUAGUUGUUUCACUUUUGCUUACUAAUAUGUCAAAAGCAUGUGGCAGAAGAGACUUAUCUUUGUUGAAAUUUGAGAUUCAGUUAGAGUUUCCAUUUGAUUUAGCUGAUUGUUAAGUUGCAAAGUUUGAAUGUGCACAAUUAUGAUGAUUCAUUUUGGUGUUGACUGAAGCGGUGCCUGUAUCUUACGAAUCAUAUUUUGUGUUAUUCAUUAGCUAAGGUUUGCAGAUUGUUGAGUAUUUUGAUAAAUAUUUCUAAGUGAGAGUCUAUUGUAUAGUUGGAGAUUGCUGGGAGGACAGAUAUUCAAGUAUAGUUAGUUAAAAUAAAUUAAUAUGAUUCAAAAGGCAAUCUUUGAUUGGAGGCUCUGUCAUCAGAAGUAUACCUAUUUUCUCAUCAAAACCAAUUGAACCAUCUGAUGCAGUAGCCAAGAACAUCGCCUUUGUUAUGAACCUUUGGAUCUGCAUGGUUCUGAUGAAGUAUCUAUCUGAAGUUUUGGUUAUGUAGGACCAUUUUCCGUCACUAUGUCAUUGAUAGCUUACUUUGCCAUUUGAUAAAUCUUUCCCAAAGUGGCUUAAACACCACCUCAUUCUAGCCAGCUUUUUAGCUUGGGUAAGUGUUGGCUUAAUGGCAUUGCUUUGAAACUAAGUUUUUACUAACCUCGAGUUUAGAAGCCGGACAGACAAUGCUCUUACCCUGUUUCUGUCAAUUCUCAGCUUAUCUUUAUGUUUGUAAUUGUAUCCACUAACUCUUCCUUGUAUAUUGCAGCUUGCCCCUUUUGCUAUCUGUUGGAGUGCAAUCUGAAAGUCUCAUCUGCCUCUUUUUGAACUCCAUGACGAACGGGAACUGUGCAACAAAGUUCUUUUUUUGGAUGUUAAACCUCAUCCCUGUUUGCUCGGCUCCAUCUCUGUUCUAUAAUAGUUGCCCUAUGAUGAAAACUCUCGGACGUGAAAUUAGUUUAAUACCUACUAUUUACAUUGGGAGGUGAAAAUGAUUGGAAUUUUAUAUUUACUCAAAGUUCCCGUCCUUUAAUGCUUAUUAAUUAAAACUUUAGUCAUUCCUUGUUAA